rnacentral:rRNA from 1 species
UAAAAGACGAGUGUUAUUCAUCUUUAAUCGGUUUAAAGGGUACCUAGACGGAAAAUCAAGCUUAAUUAAACUAAGGACUAGUUUUCUAGAGUUUGACAUGAGAAGGUACGAACUAUCAGAGGAGAGAUAAAAUUUGUUGAUACUGGUGGGACGGACAACGGCGAAGGCAAUCUUCUACUAAAAACUGACGUUGAGGGACGAAGCCUUGGGGAGCGAGAAGGAUUAGAUACCCUAGUAGUCCUUGGAGAAAAUUAUGAGUGCCAUAGACUAAAGUGAAAAAGAAGUUCUUUUAAAAGAACUUUGUAUCUGAGCCUUAAUUGGAUACAAAGGUCUGGAGUAGCAGUUUAUAAAUGAAAGUGUAAGCAUUCCACCUCAUGACUAAAGCGGCAACGCCCAAAUUGAAAUCAUUAGACCGUUUCUGAAACCAGUAGUGAAGUAUGUUAUUUAAUUCGAUAACCCGCGAAUAACCUUACCACGUUUUGAAUUUAUUAAACAAGUGUUGCACGGCUGUCUUCAGUUAAUGUCGUGAGAUUUUGGUUUGUUCCAUUAAUUAACGAAAACCCUUGUUUCAUUUUUAUAUGAAAUAGUUCACCGUUAUAUUGGAAAGAUAAAAGGGAUCAAGACAAGUCAUCAUGGCCUUAAUAAC